CGCUAAACAUGGGAAGGUGACUCGGAGUGGAAAUUUCUGACGAAAAUAAAAUUAUUCUUCGUCGUCAAGCUAAUUUCUGAGUAAUUUUCAGAGCUUCUCGCAUUCUCUAAUUGACUUUUGGAUCGAUCGGUUCGUGAAUCGAUCGAUCUUUUCUCUGUAUAAUUAUCUUAACCAGGCUUUUGAUUGGGGUAAUAAUCGGGAGAUGGCAAGUGGGUUUGGGGAAUCAACAAGCAGGCAACCCCAAAACCCCCAAUUUUCUAGCAACAACGGUAAUGGUGAUGCUGGUAAUUUUGAAUGCAAUAUUUGCUUUGACUUAGCUCAGGAUCCUAUCGUAACUUUGUGUGGCCAUCUUUUCUGUUGGCCUUGUCUUUAUAAAUGGCUCCACUUUCAUUCACAAUCCAAGGAAUGCCCAGUUUGUAAGGCUCUGGUGGAGGAGGAGAAGUUGGUUCCCCUGUAUGGUAGAGGUAAAACGUCGACUGAUCCCAGAUCAAAGUCCAUUCCUGGUGUUAAUAUUCCUAACCGCCCGGCUGGGCAGAGGCCUGAAACAGCCCCUCCACCAGAACCAAAUCAUUUUGCCCAACGUGGAUUUGGAUUCAUGGGAGGGUUAGGAGGAUUUGCACCAAUGGCAACAGCUAGGUUUGGGAAUUUUACAUUGUCUGCAGCUUU
rnacentral:misc_RNA from 1 species